UUAACAUCUUCUGCAAUCUCCUAAUGACUAAUAUUUAUAUAGAAGAUAUUUUAUCACUAUUUGAUGAUGUUAAUAUGUAUUCAACUCAUAUUUGGAAUAAUCAAUACACUAAAAUUCAUAAAAUUACAAAAAAUAUACAUUUCAUAAGAUUUGCAUUAAAAACUAGUUGACUUUUUUCUUCCAGCUCACAAAUUAGCACUCAUGUUUUGGUAUUGGAUUUUAUUAAAAGUAAGCAUGCAACAGUAAGAUAUUUUUAAAAAUACUCUUUUAGGAAAUUAUUUUUAAAAAGAAAUAAUUCUGAAAGGUCAACAUACUGUCUUUCCCGAAACUUGUGAAUUAAAUAUGCUUGUGCACUCUCAUAAUUAGCAGGAUAAAUAUUAUGAUUUUUACUUUGUAAGUAACAAUAUAUGUUGUACAGAUUAAUAUAAGAACCUCACAAAAGAAACUAUAUAGUAUGAAUAUUUCAGAAAUUGUCAAAUACAAAAAACAAUAUGGUAACAGAUGUUAUACCAACAAACUUAAUCUUAAUUCUUUCAUCAGAAAUUCAUCAAUACAAAUUAAAAAAAAUGUAGCUAUAUCCGUAGUACCAAUUAUUAAUUAACAAGAUGAAAACCUAAUGUUAACCAAACAUACCUGGUUUGGUGUCUUUUUUGUUUUCUUUCUGAUAUUAUAAUCUUAUUUCAAACUAUUUUAGUAUAAUGUUAUAGUUCAUAGAAGUUAGGAUAGUGUCCUCUUAAAAGCUCCAAAUAUCAGUAAAUAAAGUAGCUAUGAAGAUUUUUUUAAUUCUUUUUUAAAAUUGAUUUUAUUAUUUUUUAAAAUACACGACAACAGUGGAAUGUAUUACUAUCCUUAUUACACAUAUAGAGCACAAUUUUUCAUAUCUCUGUAUAUAAAGUAUGUUCACAUCAAUUUAUGACAUUAUACAUGUACUUUUUUGCAUUACAAUUCUUAAUACACAUAUAUACCACAAUCUUUCAUAUCUCUGUUUGUAUAUAAAGUGUGUUGACACCCAAUUCAAGUCUUCAUACAUGUACUUUAAAACACACUGUUUUUUCUCAAUGUGUACUGUAACCUUAUGACCACAAUUUUUAAAAAUAUAAAUAUGUCUCCUGAUUUAUCCUUAUUUUAUUUUAUUUUACAUAUUUUAUUUCUACCAUUUGUUUCAUUAAAAUAAACAGAUAUGGUCUAAUAUCUAAUAUUUGAUAUAUCUAAUAUUUGAUAUAUUUUCAAAAUAUCUAAUUUUGAUAAAUUCUGAUAGAUAUUUAUUAUAUUGAAAAUGGAGUAUAAUAUAUGAUUUGGAAGUCCAUAUCUAAAAUGAGUAUACAGUGUUAUGGUUGAAUUCUUCAUCAGUUCAACAGAAAUAACAUUGGCUAAACUUUCAGAAAACAAAGACACAAAUUUCAAAUGUUUAAGAUGUUUCAGUAUUUUGUAGUAUUGCUUUAUUCAGGCUACUAUGGUUAAAAAAAAAAAGGAGACUGGUGGCUUAUAAACAUCAGAAACAUACUUUUCACAGUCCUUAAGGCUAGGAUGUGCAAGGCUGAGGCAAGGGUAAGUAGGUGCCUUUUUCUCACAUACAGCCACCUUGCUCAGACCUCACAUGGCAGAAAUGGAAAGGAUUUCUGUCAGGUUUGCCAUAGGUUACUAAUCCCUGGGCACCUCCUCAGCCUAAUUGCUUCCUACAUUGCUCCUCUCCUUCAUACUAUCAAUUUUGAGGUUAAAAAUUGCAACAUAUGAAUUGGGGGAGAAAGUUAGCAAUAUUUGCAGUUUGCAAAGUUGGGUCAUAUAAAUUCUAACAAUUCCUAUUUCUCAAUCUAUUUAUUUUUAAAUCAGGAAAAAUUCAAAACUGUCUGGUACAAAUUAUUUUACACUUCCCAAGUGUGUACUUUUCUAGGAAAAACAGGAGAACAUUAACAGUUAGUUUGCUUAAACAAUGAUUUUUAUGAGGAUAACAGUUGUUUUUUAAUUACAAUAGAAUGCAUUUUGACAUACAGUACACAAAUGGAGCACAACUUCUCAUUCCUCUAGCUGUCCAUGGUUUAGAGUUACUCCAGUAGUGUAAUCAUAUAUGUAUAUAGGGUAAUAAUGCCUGUCUCUUUUUACCAUUCUUCCCAUCCCCACAAUCCCAACCCUCACUUCACUCCCGUCUACACAAACCAACCAAAGUGAAGAUAACAGUUUUUAUUUAUUAAAAAUAUUUUUAAACUUUCAUUUUUUUUAAAUCAGCUCAUCAUGAAUUCUAUGCUGCUUAUCAAAUAUUUUGAAUUCUAAGUAUCAACCGCUUUUUGACUAAGGAAAUAUGUGAUCACAAUUGAUUAUAGUAUUACCUAUGUUAACAUGUACUGUGAUGAAUUAUCAUUUCUUUAUUGCUUCAGCCUAUUGGUGUAGGCAUACCAACAGUUAAUUUAAGAAAAAGGAGACCCAAUGUUCAGGUAAAUGAAUGAAGGUAGACUUAGCUGUGCUUUCAAAUUUGCUAAAUCAGAGUUGAGAUCAAGCUUGGUCUUAUAGCUUUUGAUUAAAACUGCAUUUCCUGACAUUAGCUUACAGAGCAUGAGAUGGAAAUGAGCAUCAUUUCUCAAUAAACUGCAGCAAAAAUUUUAUUAAUUAUGGGAGAGGAUAUGCGUUGGUGAACUAAAGAUUGCUAAGUAAUUAUGUAAUAAUAUUAACAAUCAAGGGUAUUCAUAAUGAGAUGGCUUCUAAAAAGGAAAUGUUAUUAAAUAUUGUUAAAUUAGUGUCAAAUCUUUGUGAUCCUAACAAUUUGCUUGUAAAAUUGACUUCUAAUUGCAAAUAGAAAUUCUUAUGUGAUAGUUUCCAUAAACCAGAUAUUUUAAGCCAAAAUUUCUUUGAAUUUCUAAAAGUAUAAUUUGGGAUUAGAAGUUAAUUUCCCUUCAGCUAAUUGAAAAUGUUCAAUAUUGCAAAUAAAAAGUGUGAAUAUGUACCACCUGGCAAAUUUAUUACAAAAUCUUUGCCAUCAACAAGACUUAAAAGUUAUUAUAUAUAUGCUGGGAAUGAUGGCUCAUACCUGUAAUUCCAAAGGCUUGGGAGGCUGAGGCAGGAUGACUGCAGAUUCAAAGCCAGCCUCAGCAAUAGCCAGGAGCUUUGCAACUCAGUGAGACACUGUCUCUAAGAUACAAAAUUGGGCUGGGGAUGUGGCUCAGUGACCAACUGCCCCUGAAUUCAAUCUCUGGUACGCCCCGAAAAAAAAACAAAAAAGUUUGUUUGCUUAUUUAUUUAUUUAUUUAUUUAUGUUUCUGGGCACAUUAAAAAUAAUCAGCAUAAAAGGAUACUUUCUACAACUUUGAGAAUUUCAGAAUUUCAAAGAAAGUUCAACAUUUAAUACUUUCUUUAUUAGCUUACCAUUUUCUUAAAAAAAGUGUUGGUCACAUUACAAUGGAGAGGUGGUGUGAUUUCAGAAGAGGUUGCUAAACUGUGAAUUAGAACUAAGUUUGAGUUUAGUUCUUCUGGAGGCCAAUAGUGGAGUACUUCAUUUUGUUUACCUGAAAAGCAGUGUCUCUGCCCUGCCCAGACUGUUCAUCUGGGAAAUGAAGCGUAUCUGUUAUUACUGGGCCCCUUCUCUUCAAAUUUCUGAUUUACUUUGGCCUCCAAAUUAUUUUUAAAGCUUCCGAGGUUGUUCUAAAAUGCAGAGAACUGAACUAGUAAAAGCUUCAUUUCUCUUCCAGCUCUAGAGCUCCAAGAAAAUCUGAAUUUCAUGUUGUUGCAUAUAAGUCCCUGAAUCUUUUACAAUUUUUAUAAAGAUUAUUAUUAUGUGUAGGUCAUUCUUGAUAUUGAUAUUUUGUUACUCUCCUUGCAUGUUUUCUUUUUAUGUAUCAUCUUAAAUUAUACUUUUUGCAAUCCUGCAUUUUAGUGAAUUUUAAUUUUUGUAGCAAAAUCAAACAUUGCAUGUAAAUAUUAUGAUUAAAAAAUAAACAUCCUGAAUAAUAGUUUACGUUAUUUUUGUUUUCAUUCUAAGAAAAUUCCAAAUGGCAAUCUAGCAACCAUAUAAGACUUUUCAAUUUGAGGGAUAUUUUUGAACGAUGAAGUAUUGUAAUCAUAGUGACAAAUAAUUAUUUCAAAUUCAAAAUUUGCUAAUAUUGCAUCCUGCCUUUUAUUUUCACAAAAUGAAUGAUUGUUAUGACAGUUGAUAUUUAAAUUUUGCAAAUAGAAUUGUCACAUAUUUAAAAUGAGCAAAAAUAAUGGGCAUUCAGAGACCAUAGGAUCAAACAAAUUUCUAUUCUUAAUCUUGUCUUGGUUUUUUCUUAUUAGAAUUCUGAAAAUUUUUCAGUCCCUAUACCUGUGAUGAGUCUUUUUAAAAAGUGGCCUGUCAGAUUGCCAUUUAAAAAUACAAGUGGUGCAUUGAUAUGUUUCUGUUAUGAUUUCAUUUUCUUCUCUGUGUCUUUAUAUGUUGGAUUGGGACAUGAUCUUCAUAUUGCCAAAUCUUCCUGAUAAUGCCUCCUCCCUGCAUGCUGUUUGGGUCUGGUCAUGCUAUGCAUUAUCCAUUGCAUGUAAGAUAAAUAUUCUUUUUUUUCUGUUUUCAUUUUAUCAUUUUGAUUAUUUUUCACUUUGUUUGCAUUGAGUUUGUUAAAAUUUUAAUUCUGUUUUGAGGGUGUUUAUAUGAGGAUGGUUUAUUUCAUGGAAGUUUACAUAGGCACUUCUGAAAUAUUAGAUUGAGUGUCCUUUCAUUAGGGACUUUCUAGGUUUCUUUUUCUUUCACUUUAUUUAUGUAUUUAUUUGUUUGUUUGUUUUGAUACUGAGUAAUCAGAAUGGAAUCCACUGGGCACUUUAUUCCCAACCGUUAUUUAUUUAUUUGUUUAUUUAUUUAUUUUUAAUUUGGAGACAGGGUCUCACUAAGUUGCUUAAGGCCUCCUUAAGUUGCCAGACUGGCCUCAAACCUGCGGUCCUUCUGUCUCAGCCUUCUGAGUCACUGGGGUUACAGGUGUGCAACACUUUUCCCAGCUCAUUUUCUUAACCACAGAUUUGAAGACUUUUCAGUAUUACCCUUUUAUUUUCUUCUUAUGAUAUAUGUUUUUAUUUUCUUCUUAUGGAAUAUUUAUUUGCUUCUAAAUCAAAACUAUGCCCUCCAAAUGAUGUUAUUGGGGGCGCAGGUUGGGGUAACAGGGAUUGAACUCAGGGGCACUUGACCACUGAGCCAUAUCCCCAGUCCUAUUUUGUAUUUUAUUUAGAGACAGGGUCUCAUUGAGUCUUUAGCACCUUGCUUUUGCUGAGGCUGGCUUUGAACUCGGGAUCCUCCUGUCUCAGCCUCCCUGGCCACCUGGCCAAAUGAUGGUAUGUUUCUCUUUCAAAAAAUUAAAUAUUUGGCCUGGCACAGUGGUGAAAAACUGUAAUCCCAGGUGCUCAGUAUGCUGAGGCACAAGGAUUGCAAGUUCAAAGCAGCCUCAGCAACUUUGUGAAGCCCUAAAUAAGGGAGAUCCUGUCUCCAAAUUAAAAAAAAAAAAAAAAAGACCUAGGGAUGCUGAUCAGUGGUUAAGUGACCCUUGAUUAAAUCCCCAGUACCAAAAACAAACAAACAAAAAAUCAAAUACUUAGACUUUUAGUAAUAUAGAACCUUCUGAUUAUAGUCAAAGAGUUCUUAAGCAGUGAAUAUAGUUCAGUUUUAAAAAUACAGGUGAGGGCUGGGUUCGUGGCUCAGUGAUAGAGUGCUUACCUCACAUGUGUGAGGCACUGUGUUAAAUUCUUAGCACCAUAUAUAAAUAAAUGAAUAAAAUAAAAGUCCAUCAACAACUGAAAAUAUAUUUUAAAAAAUACAGGUGAGAUUAUCUUUGUUUAAUUUGCCUUUAAGUAUUCUCAUUCAUCAAAAACUAAGGGAAUAAAAAAAAUAUACUUUUUAAAAUGGAGUUAUUCCUUGAAGGCAGUUUUUUCAUAAUUAUAAAAUACUGUGUAUGCUGUUAUCCAUACCCCAAAAAGAUAUGCUUAAUUUUAAUAAAUUUUAACUGUUCCUUUUGUGUUUGAAAGUCUACUCUCCUAAAGUUGUGUUUCAAAUAGUGAUGAUGAAAAGGGAGGCUGAUAAUUACCAAGAAUCUGGUGAUUGGGCAUUAAUCUAGAACAGUGUGCAUUUAAUACCACUACCUAAUUAAGUCUGAGACUGGGGUAAUGUUUAUUUUAAUAAACAUUUAAAAUCUAGUUUCUAAAAUUUUGCAUUUAUAAAAUCAUACAUAUUAUGAUUUAUUGUUCUAGUGAACUUUGAAAUUCUAUGACAUGUUACUUAGCAGGUGUUUUAAAGGAAUGCAUUGAUUUACUUCAGUAAGUCUUCUAUGUGAUUGUGAAAUUAAAAUAAUAGUAUCAUAUACUUAUAUAUAAAUAAAUUAUCUUAUUCCAUGGUGAACUUUAUUUGUUAUUAUGCAUCAGCAAGAAAAGUCAGGAAAUAGUAUUUAGUUAAACUUUAAUUAAAAUAGCUAAUCUUAAUAAAAGUCUUUGUGACUUGACCACAAGUUUUCUUAUAAAAUCUUAAUAGUUUGAAUUAAUAAAAUAUAAAAUUUCUGAGAUUUAAGUAUAUAAAACUAACUUAUUUCUUUUCCUUAUGCAUAUUGAGAAGAAAAUAUAGGUCUUAUAGAAUUUGUUUUACUUAGAGAAUUCAAACUAGUUUUAAAAACAUUUUUUCCAUACACAGUCUAUUUUUUAUCUGAACUACAGCUUGGGAUGCUUACUUAUGGCCUUUGUUUUAUUGUCACAUUGCUAUAUUUUGCACUUUGUCAUUCUAAUUAAAGGAAAGAAAGUUGUGAAUGGAUCUUCAAAAGUCAUAUUCCCAUAGGCUUAUGAUUAUAAAUGCAGUGUAUAAUACAACAUUCAGGGUGAGACUGUUUUUCAUUUGAUGAUUAAUUACAAUUAAUCUACUGCAUUUAAAGCUCAAUCUCUUAGCUCUGUCUACUUUCAUGUACAUAUGUUCAUGAAAUAGUUUCAUGUGCAUAUGAAAGAAGAUAUCUCUAUCAAUUACUAAUGUAUCUUAGGUAAGUAACUUUUAGAGAAUUAAUUUCAUCUUUAAAUAUCCAUUAAAUUAACUCUUUUACACAGCAUCAUUUUAUAAUAUCAUAUGUAAUUAGUUGUUAUUGUUUUCUGUGUAGAACCCCAAAUCUCAGGAGCCAGUCACAUUGGAUUUCCUUGAUGCAGAGUUAGAGAAUGAUAUUAAAGUAGAGGUGAGUGUGACCAACAGGACAAAGGCAGACCUCAGGUCACUGCUUCACUUCUUCCACGCCUCAAGUAUCUGUCCAGCAACUGUGUUGUGUUAGGCUGUCUCUUAGGUACUACACACACAAAGAUGAAUAUCCUCUAUCUUUAAAUUUUCUAGGUUCUAUCUUCUCAUCCAAAUGGUGUUAUGAGAAGACAUAAAUAUUUCAAGUUGGGUAUGACCUAAAUGUUUUACUCCUUUCAAAGAUAGAGGUAUUUUAACUAUUCCAAUACAAAAAGGACAGAGAUUCAAUAAAAGUCCUACAAAUGGACAUUACCACACAAUUGAAAGAGGAGUUGGGAAGCAUCCAGCCACCUGACCACAUGAGGAAAACAUGAGCAGAGCAGCUGCCAUGUUUGUCUUUGCGCACUUUACUCAGCAAAUUUCUACUUUAUUUCAAAACCAAAAUCACAUGUCACUUCCUCUGAGAGGGUCUUUCAUGAUAAUAAUGGGUUAAUAGUUAAAAAUAACACUAAGUACAUGAUAUCAGUCAUGGAUUUUCAAGAGUCUUUGAGAAAGGUAUGGAACAUUUUAUUAUAUCUAUUACACUGAUGAUAACUUUGCAGUAAACAGAAGUCAAAUAGUAACUAAAAAAGUUACUCAGUAAGUUGCAGGAGUAGGCUCUUGUACUCCAGAACAAAAGUUUGGGGUAUUUUUUCCAGAAAGAUUAACUUCUUCUUUCAUCUUUUCAAAAGUUACAUAUUUCUUUUAAAACUUGUCACAGCAUAUUUCAAUUUGAACUCAAUUGACUCAUUUUACAGAUUUACUCCCUCAUUGCACAACCAUAAGAUUUAACUAUGAUUAUCCUAGGCUGUGGCAUAGAGCUAGGAUGUUUUCCCUGGCUAAUGAAUAUUUGUUGUCAAGUGUUAUAUACAAUAAAGUAGGAUAAGGUAGUGGUGGCAAAAUGGAUGUCUGAACUCCUCCCUGCUCAGUCACCACAAUGAUCAUCACAACAUUUAGUCUCUCUAAGUCUUGUUUCCCCUCAGUUAACUGCUGGCAGCUGGCAGUUAACAUAGUGAUUGCAUGAAAUAAUAUCUAGAAAGAGCUUGGAAAAAUAUCUGCUUUGUGGUCAAGUGUUCAUUAUUUUGGAGCCUUGAUGGACAUUCAAGUUACCUAAGGAGCUGCUCUCUGCUCUUUCCUUUUGUGUUUUUCAGACCUCAAGUAUUUUAAUUAAAUUAGACUAAUCACAUCCUCUUCACAUUUAAUUUUUUUCUCACACCAAGUUUGUUCACUUAUUAUCUGUAGUGACCAAAUGCCAAAUGCAAAUGUCCAAUUGUGUUACAGAAAAUGAAAAAUAAGCUAAAGAAAAUUUUGAUAAUUUCCAGUAGAUGAAUAUUUUGUAAAUUAAUGUGACCUAAUUCAUUUUUUAAAAUUUGGGUAAUUGCCUAUAAGAAAGCUAAACUGUGUCUUAUUAAAUCCCAGUAGGUUUUUAUAAGUCUCUCUAUCCCUUACUUAUAUUGUAUUUGUACUGUCGGAGAUGACAAAUGGAAACUGAAUAAGGAUAAAAAGUAUUGGGAAAUAAAGUUUACAGAUUUAUAUUAUUAUAUUUUGUACCUGUUCAAAUAUAUAACAAUUAAUGUCAUUGUCUGCAUAAUUAUAAUGCACUAAUAAAAAUUAAAAAAUUCUUUCUCAUAUAAAUCUGAUUAGGUGAAGUUGAAAUUUGAAAUAUUCCAUAGUACAUGCUAAUUCUGUAAAUGCAUAUGCAUUUCUCUUUCUCAGUGAGAACUUUUCAUGUAAAUGUAGCCAGCCUAUAAGACAGUUGACUACUUUUUUUUUUUACUAAUUAUGUUUCAAAAAUUAAUGACUGGUUGAAAAAAUUUAUUUCAGGUGCUUUUGUUAUUUUAAAAUGAUAUAAAAUGAUCAGAGUUUGACAACUUUAAAAAAUAAUUCCCAGAGAACAACUGCAACUAAUAGUCAAACCAAUCUACCAUUUAUAUUCAUUCUGUUCAAAAUAAGGAAAAACAUUCAAAAAUGAAUAUAAUCAUACUUCAAUAGGUCUGCUUGGUUCCUGGAAUAAAGUAGUUGUUUCAUUUUCCCUUAGAUUCGAAAUAAAAUGAUAGAUGGAGAAAGUGGAGAAAAAACCUUCAGAACUCUGGUUAAAUCUCAAGAUGAGGUAAGAAUUCAUUC
rnacentral:lncRNA from 1 species